AUAGAAGAGGAAGUGCAAGCAAUGAAUGAAGCUCUACAUAACCUUGAAGUUGACCAGGAGGACUACGGUGCAUAUGCAGGCGACAUAGAGAUUCAGUUUGAGGAAGAAGAGCUUGAUGAUUUAGAACGAGAUGAAGCCAUGUAUGAUUCAGCACCAGAACAAGACAUGCAUGUCGAGCAAGAGGAACAAGAUAAUGAGCAAGUUCAAGAUGAAGACAAAUACAAGAAUUUAACAGAUUUGCAAAGGACUGGCAUUUAUGAAGAAUUGCUAGCAAGAAGUGUCAAUCGGAAAUUAAAGAAGACCACUACUAGAGAAGUUGCAAACAUGUUCCAUGUUUUAGUGCACAAGGUCAGGCGUGUUUGGAGGAGAGCGAAGGAGUGUCUUCGACAACGCGUACCCGUUGAUGUAAGAUCUAGGAGGCCGAAAAACAGUGGGCGUAAAAGGAUUGUAGUUGACCUCAAUAUGGUUGUUGAGAUUCCUCAGAGUCAAAGGAGAACUAUACGCAGCCUCGCAAGAGCUUUGGGUGUGAAGAAAAGCACACUACAU
rnacentral:rRNA from 1 species